rnacentral:pre_miRNA from 1 species
AGGAGGAACAACCACUUGGCAGCUGCCAGCUCUGGAGCCCUGGAUUCAGCUCCAGCAGUAGCUAUGGAGUUCUUGGUCUGUAGGGCCUGGAUGCUCGGGGGCGGG